GAUGAACGCUGGCGGCGUGCCUAACACAUGCAAGUCGAACGCUCGCAAGAGAGUGGCGCACGGGUGAGUAACACGUAGCUAAUCUGCCCUCAAGACAAGGAUAACUGUAGGAAACUACUGCUAAUACUUGAUAAGCUUACGGACUGUAGAGGUCUAUAAGAAAAGAUUUAUCGCUUGAGGAUGAGGCUGCGCGCCAUCAGCUAGUUGGUAAGGUAAUGGCUUACCAAGGCGACGACGGCUAGGGGACCUGAGAGGGUGACCCCCCCACACUGGGACUGAGACACGGCCCAGACUCCUACGGGAGGCAGCAGUGAGGAAUAUUGCUCAAUGGGGCGCAAGCCUGAGGCAGCGACGCCGCGUGGAUGAAGGAAAGGUUUUUCGGACUGUUAAAAAUACCUUUUCUGUGUGACGAGAGUGGACGGUAGCACAGG
rnacentral:rRNA from 1 species